rnacentral:sRNA from 2 species
GACGACUUGCCUAAAGUGCUCGCAGAAGUUGAUCGACAUGAGACUGCAGGUGGAGAAACGGUUCUAGUGGCAGAUAUCAACUCUUGGCUAUGACGAUUUGAGCUUCCGUUCGAUUCUUUCGCGACUUCAGUUGCUUUGCAUUCACAUUUUGGUUCCUCAUGUUUGCUAUUGGAUGAAAUUGGUGUUCUAUCCUUGUCUGCGCCAUCAAUUCGUCUUCGUUUCCGAAGAGGUUCGUCAUCAGCCAAAGCAGCAAGAGGAAUGGUUUCGGUUUCGGGUAGAGGAGUCGAAGCAGCUAAAGGAACAGCGGAGCUAGGCAUGCAUUCGUUGCUUGUAUGAUUAAAAAUGCAGUUUAGAAGCCCACAGUUGUCACCCUCAGGGCAAAGGACACUUUUGAAGAGUCCUAGAUGAUUAAACAUCAUGUUUACUCUUCAGUUGCUCUACCGUUACAGCAUAAAUCUCAGGCCAGAACACCAGGCACUUGUAGAUAAGCCUUCCGCA